AACGAACGCUGGCGGCAUGCCUAACACAUGCAAGUCGAACGAGACCUUCGGGUCUAGUGGCGCACGGGUGCGUAACGCGGGGGAACCUGCCCUUAGGUUCGGAAUAACUCCCCGAAAGGGGUGCUAAUACCGGAUAAUGUCUUCGGACCAAAGAUUUAUCGCCUUUGGAUGGGGCCGCGUUGGAUUAGCUAGUUGGUAGGGUAAAAGCCUACCAAGGCGACGAUCCAUAGCUGGUCUGAGAGGAUGAUCAGCCACACUGGGACUGAGACACGGCCCAGACUCCUACGGGAGGCAGCAGUGGGGAAUAUUGGACAAUGGGCGAAAGCCUGAUACAGCAAUGCCGCGUGAGUGAUGAAGGCCUUAGGGUUGUAAAGCUCUUUUACCCGGGAUGAUAAUGACAGUACCGGGAGAAUAAGCUCCGGCUAACUCCGUG
rnacentral:rRNA from 1 species